UACGUAGGGUGCGAGCGUUGUCCGGAAUUAUUGGGCGUAAAGAGCUUGUAGGCGGUUUGUCGCGUCUGCCGUGAAAAUUCGAGGCUCAACCUCGAACUUGCGGUGGGUACGGGCAGACUAGAGUGUGGUAGGGGAGACUGGAAUUCCUGGUGUAGCGGUGGAAUGCGCAGAUAUCAGGAGGAACACCGGUGGCGAAGGCGGGUCUCUGGGCCGAUACUGACGCUGAGGAGCGAAAGCGUGGGGAGCGAACAGG
rnacentral:rRNA from 1 species